rnacentral:rRNA from 1 species
AUUGAACGCUGGCGGCAGGCCUAACACAUGCAAGUCGAGCGGGGGUAGCAAUACCCUAGCGGCGAACGGGUGAGGAAUGCUUGGGAAUCUGCCUCGUAGUGGGGGAUAACGUUCCGAAAGGACCCUAAUACCGCAUACGUCCUACGGGAGAMAGGGGGGGAUCUUCGGACCUCUCGCUAUGAGAUGAGCCCAAGCVGGAUUAGCUAGUUGGUGAGGUAAAGGCUCACCAAGGCUACGAUCCCUAGCUGGUCUGAGAGGAUGAUCAGCCACACUGGAACUGAGACACGGUCCAGACUCCUACGGGAGGCAGCAGUGGGGAAUAUUGGACAAUGGGCGAAAGCUGAUCCAGCCAUGCCGCGUGUGUGAAGAAGGCCUUCGGGUUGUAAAGCACUUUAAGCGAGGAGGAAGGUUCGUUACUUAAUACGUAACGGAAUUGACGUUACUCGCAGAAUAAGCACCGGCUAACUCUUUGC